GGGGGGACGGAGAAGGCUAUGUUGGCCGGGCGACGGUUGUCCCGGUUUAAGCGUGUAGGUGUGUGUUCCAGGUAAAUCCGGUUCACUUUAACACUGAGGCGUGAUGACGAGGCACUACGGUGCUGAAGCAACAAAUGCCCUGCUUCCAGGAAAAGCCUCUAAGCAUCAGGUAACAUCAAAUCGUACCCCAAACCGACACAGGUGGUCAGGUAGAGAAUACCAAGGCGCUUGAGAGAACUCGGGUGAAGGAACUAGGCAAAAUGGUGCCGUAACUUCGGGAGAAGGCACGCUGACAC
rnacentral:rRNA from 2 species